UCGAAGCGUUCAAAUGUGCUAAAAAUAGAGUACGGAAUCGCGUGAAACGGGUACUCCUGUUUAUUUAUUCCUGCGCGUACUUGUUUGUUUGAUAAGUGCAUCCGGGAAUUCCGAGUGCUUGUGAAGGACACGGGGCCCAGUGGCGGGGCGGAUACUUCGUGAAUGCUUGGGGUUUCAGGAUUCAGGAAAGUCGUUUAGUGAAGAGGAGAGAGUUCUUUUCGUUCUCUUGGGGGUUCAUUCGAAUACUGGUUACACGUGAUGAUGGUGGUCAACAAGGUCAUCAUGUCCACGUACAAUCCUACACCGAGGAGGAAUUUUUUCUCUGGGCUGCAUGCGGAGAUGUCAGAAUUUCCCGCUGACACGGAGAACGGCGAUAUGCAGGCCGUCAUGGAGAAUUUUCAGAAGAAAAAUAAUUUGGUCAGUGGGAGGUCACAUCACCUUCCACAAGUCACCAGUUCCUCACAGUUGCUGAAUCAGAGUCAGAGCAGUAGUAGCACAAGCAGUACAACAACAAGCAGUAGAGUUGCUAAAUCCUCCCAGAGGAUUUUAACAUCAUCAUCGUCGAGUGAAAUGAAAGCAAGCUCCAUGAAGAGUGAUCUUACUGAACUCAAAAGGGGAAUUUCUGAGAUGAAAAAUAUUUCGACCAAGUUUUCAAGGCUGAGGAAUAGUAUGGAGAAUCUCGUUGACAGAGAAGGCAGUGUCACCGAGGAGGAUGACAUGUCGGAGCCCCUGGUGACAUUUCCAGACCCAGACACACCCCCACCGGCCUCUGGGCCCGGAACACUCACAGUCGGUUCUCCAGCACAACUGGGGACAUUAAAUCCCCUGAACAAUCUUCACAGUAUAACACCGACAAUAAACAUGUCGACAAUCGGUCUGACCGGUGGCCAGGAGACAAUGAAAUUCGAACAAAAGAAGAUGACGAGCGCAUCCAAGACCAAGGUUGUGACUGAUGGAUUCAGCGCAGAGAAAGCAACAGCAAAUAGCGCAGAGAUGCGUGCACUCCAGACUGGUGAUGUUUCAUACAAAGAGGAGAGUGCGGCGACUGCUGCACGCGCACGAGUCGAGGUCGACGGAGUUUCGGCGGAGAAAAGCGUCGCCGCAGCACGAGAGCAGAGGAGUCUGAAAACUGGUGAUCUGUCUCAUCAAGAGAGCAAUAAUGUCGCGGCAUCGAGUAUGAAGCUACAAAGUGACUCUUUCAGUUCAGAAAAGAAAGCAAUGGCAGCCCAGCAGCAGCGUCAAACGGUCACUUCCUCUGGUAUCUACAACCACGAAAAGCACAUGGCCUCCUCCUCCCAAUCCUCGAUAACCUUCGCGAAAGGUGUAACCUCGAAAUGCUCCAUGAUAAACGCAGCAAGUGCUGUCAACCAACUGAUGAACGGCAAGCGUCCGCAAGAGGAAGACCUCUUGACGAUGCCCCUGGACGAUCUCGACCACCUCUGCUCGUCCUCAAAACAGUCCGACGUGGACCGGGCCCGGGCCAAGUACUCGGGCUUCCUGGACCACUUCGUGGACCGCCUAAAGUCCCUCGAAAACUCGAAGUCCCCAACCGCGCCGCUCCUCCUAAACCGCGUAAACGACAUAAUCCGGAAAGCGUGGGCGGUGCCGACGCACGGUCACGACCUGGGCUACACGCUCUGCAACACCCUCCGCACGCGGGGUCUCCUGGACCUCCUGGUGACCAACUGCAUGGCGGCGGACGAAGAACUCCAAUUCUCCUCCGCGCGUCUUCUCGAGCAAUGUCUGACGACGGAAAACCGCGCCCACGUGGUGGAUCACGGUCUGGAGAAAGUCGUAAACGGCGCAUGCGUCUGCAUAAAGAACACAAACUCCGUCGACCACUCGCGGGUCGGCACGGGUAUCCUCGAACACCUCUUCAAGCACUCGGAGGUGACCUGCAGCGAUGUCAUCCGCCUCGGCGGUCUCGAUUCCGUCCUCUUCGAGUGCCGGAAGAACGACGUGGAAACCCUCCGCCAUGUUGCGGGCGCGCUCGCGAACCUCUCGUUAUACGGUGGCGCGGAGAACCAAGAGCAGAUGAUCAAGCGGAAGGUCCCGGUCUGGCUGUUCCCCCUGGCCUUCCACAACGACGACAACAUCAAGUACUACGCGUGCCUCGCCAUCUCGGUCCUCGUCGCGAACAAAGAGAUCGAGGCCGCGGUCGAGAAGAGCGGAACGCUGAACCUGGUCGAGCCCUUCGUGACCUCCCACAACCCUUACGAGUUCGCCAAGUCGAACCUCGCGCAUGCGCACGGGCAGUCCAAGAACUGGCUGGAGCGUCUCGUGCCUGUUCUGUCAUCCAAGCGGGAGGAGGCGCGCGCACUCGCGGCAUUUCACUUCUGCAUGGAAGCGGGGAUAAAGCAACAACAGGGAAACGAGGAGAUCUUCAAGGAGAUCGGGGCGAUCGAGCCCUUAAAGAAAGUCGCCAGUUGUCCGAACGCGGUCGCGUCCAAGUACGCCGCGCAAGCGCUGCGGCUUAUCGGCGAAGAGAUUCCGCACAAGUUGAGUCAGCAGGUACCGCUCUGGAGCACCGAAGACGUGCGGGAGUGGGUGAAGCAGAUCGGCUUCACCGAGUACGCGGACAACUUCGUGGAGAGUCGGGUGGACGGGGAUCUGCUUCUCCAGCUGACGGAGGAGAACCUCAAGGAGGACAUCGGGCUGACCAAUGGAAUCAGGCGGAGGAGGUUCACCCGCGAGCUUCAAAAUCUCAAGCGAAUGGCGGAUUACAGCAGUCGGGACAAUGGCGAUCUCAAUUCUCUUCUCCAGUGCAUCGGCAACGAGUUCUCGAUCUACACUUACGGGAUGCUCAAUGCUGGCGUUGACCGGGACAACAUCAGGGUCAUCAGCGAGGAUCAACUUCUCACCGAGUGCGGCAUCACCAACAGUAUUCAUAGGCUUAGGAUCAUGGACGCUAUCAAGAAUAGCCAGCAGAAUCAGCUCAACUCGUGCGAGAAUCAGAGUCCUGACAAGAGUUUGGAUGUCUUCGUCAGUUACCGACGGAGUAAUGGCUCGCAACUGGCUAGUUUGUUGAAGGUUCAUCUGCAGUUGAGGGGGUUCUCGGUGUUCAUUGAUGUCGAGAGGCUUGAGGCGGGCAAGUUUGAUAAUAACUUGUUGCAGAGUAUUAGACAGGCGAAACACUUCUUGCUGGUGUUGACGCCCAAGGCGUUGGACCGCUGCAGUCGGGAUAACGAAUGCAAGGAUUGGGUACACAGGGAGAUUGUCGCGGCGCUUCAGUCGCAAUGCAACAUCAUUCCGAUAAUCGACAACUUCCAGUGGCCCGAACCCGAGGAGCUUCCCGAGGACAUGAGGCAGGUCUGUCACUUCAAUGGAGUCCGCUGGAUCCACGACUAUCAGGACGCAUGCGUAGACAAAUUAGAAAGGUUUAUGCGAGGUGAGCUUCCAGCAGGCGCAUCUAUGUCAGGUGUCACUAGGGGAAUGGUGUCCAAGGAGGCAACAACGCCGAGUACUCCAGGCAGUACCAACAUGAGACAUCCACCUAGUUACCAGAGAAUGCACAGCAAUGAGAGCCGCGGCAGUGACAAAGACUCCUCAGGUGGUAGAGAUUGACUAGAAGGCCCCCCCACAGCUAUUCCAAAUAGUACGAGUCAGGAAAACUGAAGCUUCUGCAAUCGGUUGAAAAAAAUAUUGAAUAAUAGACUGAGGAAGACUUCGAGUCCUGGCUGGCUGAUGAGCAUCCCGCCAACGUCUCCGCGUCUCAAAUUCGUUCACACACAUCCUGGAAGGGACCCAAUUCCCCAGCGCCCACCCAGGCAUCCACCCACACCCGCGAAUCGAUCAAAGUCCCUAGAACUUUUGGACGAGCCUGAGAACCUGGAGAAAAUUGAGAGGCUAUUCGCCUCGAGGCCUCCACCUCUCCUGAGACCUCGCUCGAGGAGUCUAGACGGACUCCUAGACGAUGAUGCCCAGGAGAAAACCCCAGAAAAUCUUAAAAAAUCCCUAGACGAACAAAAACCCGAAAUUCCUCCAAGAACAUUCGAAACUCUGAGUUUAUCUACAUAUGAUAAUUUCCCAGACACUUCCAAAAAGUUCCUAGAUAUCGGGGAAAACCACCAGAAUAUCCCUAGACGUGAAAAUUCCCUAGGAGGGAUUGAGGGUUCAGAAAAAAGUGAACAAUCGGGUUUUUCGGAGAGGAGAAAAAUCGGAGAACAUUGUGGGGGAGGAAGUGACCCUGGAGAAAUUCCUAGGAAUUCCCCAGCGACCCAAAUAUCCCUAGAAACGAAGUCCGGUGAGGUUGGGGAUAGAGAGGAUGGGGAAAAUGGGGAUGAGCCGUGUCCAUUACCAGUGCCAAGACUGAAAUCUCGACAAAUUCGUAACCAGGCAGCUAAAAUAGCACAAGAAGAGCACACGAGAAUAUCAUUGUCCGAUGAUGACGAUACAAUUGACUGCUGUGAUAAAAAUAAUGAAAAAAUUGAUGAUAAUGUGAGGUUAUGUCCAAAUAAUUCGGAAAAUGAUGGAAAUUUGGAUAAAAAAUUUUUAGCAAAAGCUAAGAGCUGUGGGGAUGGACUCGAUGAGAAUGAGUCAUUAUCUUCAUUCAAUGCUAGUGUUAAUUCACUUCACGUUGACAAUGAGCAAAGACGUAAACGUAAUUUUAUGAAUAAAUGUGUUAGUAAAAUGAGAUCACUCAUUAAAAAGUGAUGUGUUUAGGUUAUUAAUUUAAUUGAAAAAAUUUGACGAGGGGUUGAUGAACAAUUCCGAAUUCAGUUGUAUACUCUGUGAAUUUUCUAGUGACUUUUUGAUUAAUGAGUGGAAUUUGAUUUUUUUUAAUCGGAAAACUAUUUGAAUUGUAAAUUUUAAAAGCUGGGAAAAUCUAGGAAAUUUCUCAGAAAAUCCUCAGGAAUUUUUCUAGGGAAUUUCCCUGGAGGCGUUCUCAGGACAAUUCUUGGAUAAAAUCCCUAGGGCAUUUCUGGGGAAUUGACGUGAUUCUAGGGUGUUGUCCCUAGGGGAUUCCUAAAAAAUCUCCAGUGCCCCCCAGGGGAAUUCUUGCGGAGAAAUUUCCUAGGUAAAAUUCUCUGUGUCAUUUUUUGACAAUUUUAUCUGUUGAAUGUUCUGUUGCUGCUUUUUAUGUUGAGUAUUAAUGUGUAAAAAUGAAUUUUUCAUUGAAAAAAAAAUUUUUUAAUAUUUAAAAAAUGGAAAAAACUUAUUAAAAAAAUUGAAAACCCCUCGUGACAAAAACGGCAGCGAGACUAUGUAACAAUUGUGCCUGAAUCGUGUCUUAAAUCAAAACAUUACAUUGUUCAUUUAAUAUUAUUCUACCCCAAUUUUAUAUUUUAUUUUUAUGAACAAAAUUUAAAUAACACGAGGUGCUUUAUAUUUAUA